ensembl:lncRNA
ACUGCAGUGUCUGUGCAUCCCGGUCUAUUUAAUGGCCAAUAUCUGAUUACAAACUAGAUCAGUGCCAACCCAUCACAGUGCACAAUUGCACACACAUUCACAAUCUAUGGAAAAUUUGGCAAUGCCAAUCAGCCUACAAUGCAUGUCUUUUGUCUAGGGGAGGAAGCCUGAGUACCUGGAGGAAUCCAUCGAAGCAUGGGGAGAACAAGCAAGCUGCGCACACAGGGAAGAAGUGCGCUUUGAACGCCUUACCCUGGAGGCGUGAGUCAAAAGUGCUAACCACUAAGUCACCGUGCUCCCCAUGGAACAUCAUUUGUUCUUGCUUUCGAUUAGAAGUAAGUCUGUUGAAUGGACAUGCACAGUUGUGUACCGAUCACAUGCUGUGAUUCCAUGCAGUAUUUCUGUCUGCCUCCUUCUGUAAUCUUGUGCCGAGUCCCCUGGAAUAGGCGCCAUGUUCUCUGCGACCCUGUGUAGGAUAAGCAGUACAGAAAAUGGAUGGCUGGUUGGAUGAGCAUAUAAAUUCUGCCAUAGUCAGACAACUUCUCCACAGUCAUUAUCCUUUUCUAAGAAAGUGUCUGAGGCAGCACAUCAUGUUUGUGCCCUCAACAAAAACAAGUCAUUACCCAACGUUUAGCUGUAAGCUGUGGUGUUUUCUCUUCACAUUGCUCAUAAAAGAUAUUAUUCCAGACUGUCAGGGAUCUUGUAGGUGAAUGAGUGUUGUUAGCUAUUGUUAGUAUGAGUUAUUCUAUAUGGCAAAAGUUUGUGGACACCUGACCAUCACACCCCAUAUAUGCUUCCUGAACAUCCCAUUCCAGAUGUAUCCCCCUCUGUUUUAUGAUAACCUCCACUCUUCUGGGAAUGCUUUCCACAAGAUUUUGGAGUGUGGCUAUGGGGAUUUGCCCAUUCAGCCACGAGAGCAUUAGUGAGAUCGGGCACUGUUGGGUGAGGAAGCCUGGAACAUAGUUGGCAUUCCAGUUCAUCCAAAAGGUGUUCAGUGGAGUUGCAGGCACUCUUAAUUUAUCUGACUAGUUAAGGUUGAUGUGUGUAGUGCAGCAGCAUUCAGAAUGAGUAAUGUGCACUAAAGUUACAACAUUGAGGUGUGUCACAUCACAUUUUGUUAAAAUAUAAUAACCAAAUAAAAACUUUUGUUUUGCUAAAGAUAUUAGCUAGUAGCAUUAGAAAAGAAACAAACAAACAAACAAACAAAAAAAAAACAGCGCCUACUUGUUCGCUAGACAACUAGGAAGAAAAAAGGAAUCGCCUGAAAAUAGAAUAGCCUGGGCUAGUCAAACACCUAACCCAGUAUGACUCAAAAAGAUUGUACACCUGCACCUUACAAAGCUGCAUUAGUCACUUUUAUUUUGGAACUUAAUUUUUCCUGCCAAUAUUGCUGUUAUACUUAUUACCGUUACACUACAAAUAGUUUACAGUUUAAAGCUCAUGUUCUGUGUAUUUAUUGUCCUGUGUAUCUUUUUUCUGUUCUGUGUAUUUAUUGCGUUCUGUUCUGUGUUGGACCAUGGGCCUGGAGAAACGACAUUUCAUUCAGAUGUAUACUGGCUAUAUAGAAGAAUGACAAAUAAAAACCACUUGACAUGACUUGAAAAUGUAAUAUUCUUGUCCUGGAUUCCUGUAAACCACUUUAUAUAGCAGCUUUAUUAGCUUGUGUCCACACUUACUGUCAUUAUUUCUAGGUGAAAUUUGUAGGCAUAUAAUCUCACCAGAUAUGAUUAGGGUGUUUGUUAGGUGUGUCAGGAGCAACAUGCUUAAUGUCCUCUUUAUUUGACACACCAUUCAGUUGCCAUUGUAGGUGUACAAUUAGAGACUAGCUCAUUUUGUCCAUGAAGAGUUCGUGUUAAUUGUCCUCUAGACAGAAGAGUAGUGAGUAGUGCUGCUACCAUGCAGCUGCAGGGUCCCUGGUUUGCUUCUGAGCUCUGGUUACUGUCUGUGUAAUAUUUUAUGUGUUCUCCCCAUAUCUAUAUGGAUUUCAUUUGGGAUCUCCAGUUUCUUUCCACCUCUUAAAAACAUGCUAAGUGGAUUGGUUGUGCUAAAUCAGGCCACCAAGGCAGUGGUGGCUCAUGGCUCUGGAUUACGGAUCAGAAGGUUGGGGGUUCAAGCCCCAACACUACCAAGCUACCUCUGUUGGGUCCUUGAGCAAGGCCCUUAAAUCUGUUUGCUCAAUUGGCACCAUGUCAUGGCUGCACUCUAACCCAAGCAUCCUAACAAGCUGUGAUAAUUUCACUGUACUGUAAUAUAUAUGUUACAAAUAAAGGCUUCUUCUAAAAAUCUCCCCUAGGUGUCAAUGUAGUGUGCAAGGUACCCUGCAAUGGACUGGCAUGACAUUCAGUAUUUGUAUUUCUGCCUAAUACUCAGUGCUCGUGGGAUAUGCGUCGGAUCGACCUGACCCUGAGUGACAUAAAAUGCAAAAUGCAAAGAUUCUAUAAGAUUAGAUGAGAAACAAUUUUUCAGGUGUGUUGUCUUUUCCAAAUGCUUGAAUCAUCCAUCCAUCCAUCCAUCUUCUAUACCGCUUAUCCUUCCUUCAGGGUCACGGGGAACCUGGAGCCUAUCCUGGGGAACAUCGGGUACAAGGCGGGGUACACCCUGGACAGGGUGACAAUCCAUCGCAGGGUACAUUCACAUACACAUUCACACACUACGGACACUUUGGACAUGCCAAUCAGCCAUGUCUUUGGACUGGGAGAGGAAACCAGAGUACCGGUACCAGGUACUCCGGAGUACCCGGGGGAAACCCCCGCAGCACGGGGAGAACAUGCAAACUCUGCACGCACAGGGCCACGGUGGGAAUCAAACCCCCAACCCUGGAGGUGUGAGGCGAACGUACUAACCACUAAGCCACCAAAACGAGCUGCUAUAUAGAAGCCAUUCUGAUAAACAUUUUGGAUGGUUAUUUAUUUUCAAGCGUCCAUAAUGUAUAGUUUCUGUGGUAGGGGUACUAAAACAUUUAGAGAUUAAAUUUUUUUUUU